GUCUCUUCGGAGACAUCUGAUAAAAUUGGAACGAUACAGAGAAGAUUAGCAUGGCCCCUGGGCAAGGAUGACACGCACAAAUCGAGAAAUGGUCCAAAUUCUU
rfam:Spinacia oleracea cultivar SynViroflay scaffold63930.1, whole genome shotgun sequence.